AGGAACAAAAAUGUACUGGAAAUCAAGGGACUGUGCACAAUGUUCAAAUAAGAGAGGUUUUUCAAAUUGGAGAGGUGUCAAAUAAGAGAGGGUUCACUGUAAACAGAUAAAGAAGAGGGUCAGCUUGAACUAGGCAGUGAUCGGAGUCAGGCUCUAAAUGACUCUGACGAAAUGCAAUAGUAAACCCUGUAAAGGAUUCGUUAAAUCUUCGGAUGCAUUCUAGUAAAGGAUCGUUCAUACCGAUUUGCGUACGUCGUCUGGGAAGGAAUAAUGGAGGCCGGAAUAAUACUCGCAACAAACGAAAAAAGGAACACAUAAGUUGAUAAAAGAAAAGGAGAGGGGGAACUUCGACUUCGUGGAGAAGGACAGAGGCAAAGAAAGAGGACUGAGCAUGGCUUCUACGAGCUACAAGAGUCUCAAGCCCGAGGAAGUGGAUUCGAACAUGAUAGCUCCCUCCUUAUCAGGAAGGAUAGACGAUUUUCCGGAGAACGAAACGCGUAAACGCUUUUGCACCCGUUCAAUUCUAAGCAUGGCGGAUUGAGAGGAACCAGACUGCAGUAUAGAGCUUUUAGGCAUAAUGGGUCCGCAAAAUCAGACCUGGUGCGACGGAUAAGACACAGGGCAUCAUAUACCUUGCUAAUUAAUUUGUUAUGGUGCAAAGAAAAUCAGACUUCCUCGUCCAUCCACACACCUUCUCUGACGAUACUCAAGGUAGGCUAACGUUGUUACAUUUAUUAUCGAAACGAAUAGGAUUAGAAGUUCGACAGAAAGAAAUUACGUUGCAUUUUGGGAUAGAUACCCAAAUAAUCAAGAUACCGAAAACGCCACCAAUUUCAUAUACUAAAAAUCCAGUUGCAUCGAACAAAGCCAAAAAACUGUCAGUUUGGUGGGUUAAACCACACAUCUACAGAAGCGGCCAUUUCAAUGUUUGUUAAAGUCAGUUUUUUUAUGCACGGGUAAUUCAUUUACUCAACAUGUAUCACCCCAAAAUGUGUUUAAUUGUGCAAAGGAAGCUAUAAAACUUGUGUGUUUAAGUUCAUUUGUUGUGAAACAUAUUUGUGGAUGCGUGUGUUUGUUUACUUGCAAAUGGACUGUUUCAUUUCGCUGGUCAGUGCACAGUUUAUUUAGUAAUAAUAUUGCCGAAGUUAUGCUGUGAUGUCAGUGAAUGACUUAAAGUAAUCGAUGUGUUAAAAUCAUGUUCAGCAUAUUGAUCCUAGCCCGCACUUGAUCCAUCUUUUUCUCAUCAACAUGUUUGGAAAAAGUGGGCCAAGCGUGGGCAAGGUCAAUACAUCUUAUUAGAACUGACAGCUCCGAUUGUUCUAAAAUUUGGUGGGUUAACGGCUGAAUCGACCACCUCUAACCCGCGUGGGUUUGAGGUGGCUUUACAGUGGGUUAGGCUUGUGGCAACGCUCAUCGGAUGCGAUUUUAUCGGACGAGAUUUAUAUGGGAUUUGACAGAUAACGUCGGACGUGCGAUUUCGUCGUCCGACGUUAUCUGUCAAAUCCCAUUGUCGCCCGGCCUCCGUCGUGCACCGACCAGCCGCGAAGGUGACUGGUCCUGGCGAUGCCGUCGGCUUCCGUGCGACAAAUAUAUGCCCGCUGCUUUCCCGUGCUGUCGAAGCGGAUGGACGAAGCGGACCCGCCGACCACGGUCUUGCACCAAGUGCCUCCCUCCCGCAGCGUCUUCACCGACAGAGAUUCGCGCCUCACGGCUGCCUUCCAGCUAGUUGCCCCAAGCUUGCGGGGGCCUAUGCGGACGGAAGGGGAAUCCUGGGAAUGUCGAACACCUUGGUCUGUUGACACGAGGGAACGAGCCCGGGUAGUUAAGGAGAGGAUGGUGACCACGCCUUCUCGCCAAGUAGUGUCCAGUCAAGAUUGCCUUGGGUAGGGUCUCGAAGGGAGUACAGGGCUUGUGUGGAACGGAUCUACAUACUUUCGGAAUAGUCGGAAGUAAUAAUCUCUUGCACAAAAUUUCUCCUUUUGCUACCAACUAUUUUAUUUUUCUUCCACUGGAGUCGUUUACAAGCAACAUGCUGCUCUAGCGAUUGCCUAGAGCAUUUUCCGCGAAAAUAUAAUUAUAUUUAGUAAAUCCGU